rnacentral:rRNA from 1 species
AGAGUUUGAUCCUGGCUCAGGAUGAACGCUAGCGACAGGCUUAACACAUGCAAGUCGAGGGGCAGCGGGGUGUGGCAACACAUUGCCGGCGACCGGCGCACGGGUGAGUAACGCGUAUGCAACUUGCCUAUCAGAGGGGGAUAACCCGGCGAAAGUCGGACUAAUACCGCAUAAAACAGGGGUCCCGCAUGGGGAUAUUUGUUAAAGAUUCAUCGCUGAUAGAUAGGCAUGCGUUCCAUUAGGCAGUUGGCGGGGUAACGGCCCACCAAACCGACGAUGGAUAGGGGUUCUGAGAGGAAGGUCCCCCACAUUGGUACUGAGACACGGACCAAACUCCUACGGGAGGCAGCAGUGAGGAAUAUUGGUCAAUGGCCGGGAGGCUGAACCAGCCAAGUCGCGUGGAGGACGAAGGUCCUAUGGAUUGUAAACUUCUUUUGUGCGGGAAUAAAGUCGGGGACGCGUCCCCGUUUGCAUGUACCGUACGAAUAAGCAUCGGCUAACUCCGUGCCAGCAGCCGCGGUAAUACGGAGGAUGCGAGCGUUAUCCGGAUUUAUUGGGUUUAAAGGGUGCGUAGGCGGACUGUUAAGUCAGCGGUGAAAGGGUGUGGCUCAACCAUACGAUUGCCGUUGAUACUGGUGGUCUUGAGUGUAAACGAGGUAGGCGGAAUGUGAUGUGUAGCGGUGAAAUGCUUAGAUAUGUCACAGAACCCCGAUUGCGAAGGCAGCUUACCAGGAUACAACUGACGCUGAGGCACGAAAGCGUGGGUAUCAAACAGGAUUAGAUACCCUGGUAGUCCACGCAGUAAACGAUGAUUACUAGGAGUUUGCGAUACAGUGUAAGCUCCACAGCGAAAGCGUUAAGUAAUCCACCUGGGGAGUACGCCGGCAACGGUGAAACUCAAAGGAAUUGACGGGGGCCCG